UACGUAGGGCGCACGCGUUGUCCGGAAUUAUUGGGCGUAAAGAGCUCGUAGGCGGCUUGUCACGUCGGGUGUGAAAGCCCGGGGCUUAACCCCGGGUCUGCAUUCGAUACGGGCUAGCUAGAGUGUGGUAGGGGAGAUCGGAAUUCCUGGUGUAGCGGUGAAAUGCGCAGAUAUCAGGAGGAACACCGGUGGCGAAGGCGGAUCUCUGGGCCAUUACUGACGCUGAGGAGCGAAAGCGUGGGGAGCAAACAGG
rnacentral:rRNA from 1 species